CUGAGACUAGCGGGCCCGUGAAACC
rnacentral:piRNA from 1 species